GCCUGCGGGCAAAUGGUCAAGUUGCAAAAAUACAGAGAAGAUUAGCAUGGUCCCUGCACAAGGAUGACACGCUCUAUCAAAGAGAAGCUGCUCAUUUUU
rnacentral:snRNA from 1 species